UUCUAUGACAUCAUCCAUUCUGUGACGUCAUCCAUUCUAUGACUGACACCCUCCCGGCUCUGAGAGGUCUAAAUGCCAUAUUUUUCUCCAAUGCCUUUCUUGUCUUGUUUGGUUUUCCACACUUAACCCAGAAUGUAUGUGGAAUGUGGCUUAAGGCAUGCAGCCACAGAAGAGUUCCCAAAAGCAAAAGCCAAAGCCACAGGCAUCCGGAGGGACAGACUCCACAGCCAUUUCUAUGGUUUGAAUAAUCUUCUGGAGGACCAUACCCUAGGACCUAGAGUUACGCGCCACCACUAAGGAAGCAGAAGAGCCCACAAGAACGGGGUAUCUGGUAAGGGAGGGGGCAGGGCAGCAUCCGGGCACCGGCUCAGAGGCUUCCAGGAGACGGCAGAACUCUGGAGAGCCUACUCAAGAGAAUGACUUUGUGAAGAGGAAGACUAAGGUGACAAUGGCAGCUUGGAAACCACCCAGAGACAAGAAGUAAGCUUCAAAAUAAUCCAAGUUGAAAAUGGCCGUCCCUGAGGAGAGAGAAGUGCAGAGGAAGGCAGAUGACUGGGAUAACGUAGCAAAAUGUGGAAAGUGAGAUUUAACUCUCCAGGUUUCAUUAGAAUGAACUUUUAACAAAAUUUAACAAAUAAUUAAAUGAUGGCAAUCUUA